AUAUCCUCCGGCACCAACUUGUGGACCCAUGGAUACAUGUGAAGUUGGCCCGCCGCAAGGAUAUGCUCCACAGAUGAACUCCAUGGCGUCCAGCGAGAAACACGUACCGGGCGACCACAUGAGGAUCUCAACGAGGCAUUUUUCCCGAUCGGUGGGGAAUACUCACUGCGGCAAAAAAUAGACUGCAUGGCUGUGACUUUAUCCGGCCCAAACAGCCUGGCGUCGAUGGUGAGCUCGUCGGGGUUCAUCGUCAUCACGAUCCAGUCGCAUGCGCCUAUGCCAUGCUGGCGGAUGAUCUCUGGAUACAUGUACCCCUGGAUGGUCGUUACGUCCCGCCGCUUCCAUAUCUUUGCCUUAAACAUGUUUUGUUUGGGAGUAACGAGCGCGGCAUGCGUUCCGUAGAGCUGGAUAAAUAGAUUCCUUCUGUUGCAGGGAACAACCUGUUGCUAACGUGUGAUUUCGUUAAUCGCAAAGAACAAUAUGUUGUGUGA